rnacentral:rRNA from 1 species
CCCUGGCUCAGAUUGAACGCUGGCGGCAGGCCUAACACAUGCAAGUCGAGCGGAUGAGGGUAGCUUGCUACCUGAUUCAGCGGCGGACGGGUGAGUAAUGCCUAGGAAUCUGCCCGAUAGUGGGGGACAACGUUUCGAAAGGAACGCUAAUACCGCAUACGUCCUACGGGAGAAAGCAGGGGACCUUCGGGCCUUGCGCUAUCGGAUGAGCCUAGGUCGGAUUAGCUAGUUGGUGGGGUAAAGGCUCACCAAGGCGACGAUCCGUAACUGGUCUGAGAGGAUGAUCAGUCACACUGGAACUGAGACACGGUCCAGACUCCUACGGGAGGCAGCAGUGGGGAAUAUUGGACAAUGGGCGAAAGCCUGAUCCAGCCAUGCCGCGUGUGUGAAGAAGGUCUUCGGAUUGUAAAGCACUUUAAGCUGGGAGGAAGGGCAGUAAGUUAAUACCUUGCUGUUUUGACGUUACCAGCAGAAUAAGCACCGGC